GUCCGUUCGCAGAUUUUGGAUAUACGAUAAAAUUGAAACGGUACAGGAAAUAUUAAGAUGACUCUGCGUAAGGAUGACUCACACAUAUCAUAAAUAAAAGUAUAUUAUU
rnacentral:snRNA from 1 species